AUUGAACGCUGGCGGCAGGCUUAACACAUGCAAGUCGAGCGGGGUGAUGGUGCUUGCACUAUCACUUAGCGGCGGACGGGUGAGUAAUGCUUAGGAAUCUGCCUAUUAGUGGGGGACAACAUCUCGAAAGGGAUGCUAAUACCGCAUACGUCCUACGGGAGAAAGCAGGGGAUCACUUGUGACCUUGCGCUAAUAGAUGAGCCUAAGUCGGAUUAGCUAGUUGGUGGGGUAAAGGUCUACCAAGGCGACGAUCUGUAGCGGGUCUGAGAGGAUGAUCCGCCACACUGGGACUGGGACACGGCCCAGACUCCUACGGGAGGCAGCAGUGGGGAAUAUUGGACAAGGGGGGGAACCCUGAUCCAGCCAUGCCGCGUGUGUGAAGAAGGCCUUAUGGUUGUAAAGCACUUUAAGCGAGGAGGAGGCUCUUUUGGUUAAUACCCAAGAUGAGUGGACGUUACUCGCAGAAUAAGCACCGGCUAACUCUGUGCCAGCAGCCGCCGUAA
rnacentral:rRNA from 1 species